AUUGAACGCUGGCGGCAUGCUUUACACAUGCAAGUCGGACGGCAGCACAGAGAAGCUUGCUUCUUGGGUGGCGAGUGGCGCACGGGUGAGUAACAUAUCGGAACGUACCGAGCAGUGGGGGAUAACUAAUCGAAAGAUUAGCUAAUACCGCAUAUCUUCUGAGGAAGAAAGCAGGGGACCAUUUGGCCUUGCGCUGUUUGAGCGGCCGAUAUCUGAUUAGCUAGUUGGUGGGGUAAAGGCCUACCAAGGCGACGAUCAGUAGCGGGUCUGAGAGGAUGAUCCGCCACACUGGGACUGAGACACGGUCCAGACUCCUACGGGAGGCAGCAGUGGGGAAUUUUGGACAAUGGGCGAAAGCCUGAUCCAGCCACGCCGCGUGUCUGAAGUAGGCCUUCGGGUUGUAAAGGACUUUUGUCAGGGAAGAAAAGGGCGGGGUUAAUACCCCUGUCUGAUGACGGUACCUGAUGAAUAAGCACCGGCUAACUACGUG
rnacentral:rRNA from 1 species